UACGGAGGGGGCUAGCGUUGCUCGGAAUCACUGGGCGUAAGGGGCGCGUAGGCGGCCUGAUCAGUCGGGGGUGAAAGCCUGUGGCUCAACCACAGAAUGGCCUUCGAUACUGUCGGGCUUGAGACCGGAAGAGGUAAGUGGAACUGCGAGUGUAGAGGUGAAAUUCGUAGAUAUUCGCAAGAACACCAGUGGCGAAGGCGGCUUACUGGUCCGGAUCUGACGCUGAGGCGCGAAAGCGUGGGGAGCAAACAGG
rnacentral:rRNA from 1 species